rnacentral:lncRNA from 1 species
ACAUGCUGAUAGUACUUAUUGAGUACACGACCCCUACUGACUUUGGGGUCACCAGGUCAAAGGUCAAGGCGCUACGGAGGCAUUUGUCACCAUUAGUGACAGCUCUUGUUACUAUAGAAAUUUUGAACUUAAUCUUGCCAAAAUGUACGUCGGGAAUUUUAGUCUUGUUACGUUUCUCACGAAAGCUCUAUCUAGCAUCAAACUUUCAUUCACAUACAUAAUUAUGUUUGCUACAUUACUUACCAACCUCAACGUAGGCCAUCCGUCCACAUAAAGCCGCAUUGGCUAUGUACUUACUCGCUUACUCACUGUUUACUCUCUUUCGACCACGACGCCAGUAAAAGAAAGCAAAUGAUUGUCCUUAGUUGGGAAGAUAACAAAUGGCACGAGUUUUAUCAUGGUGGUUUAUAUCUGACAUGUCGUGUUCGCGAGAUGAAAUCACGACAACACAAAUACAUGAAAAUUCGAAACAUUUUGCACGAAAACAUGGCGUUUAGUUUCGUGUUGGCUGGUAUGAAUAUGUCGCGAUAGAACCCUUAUUUUUCGUGCUGUCGUGUUGUGGUGAAUACGUUCCGCCUACACGAAAAAACGACAAAUACAUUAUUUGUGGAGUAUUCGUGUUUCAUACUUUUGCCCCGCCGACACGAAAACACGAUACACGACAAAUGUUUAGGACAAAUGUUAAGACAUUUGUCGAGUUUUCGAGUUUCCGUUUUGACGUCCUCCGUUAGACAUUGUAAAUAUCUAUCAACAUGAUCGGAACAUUGUAUGACUAUGUGAUCAUGCAAAAAGAUUUCUUGACGAAAAAAAUAGAACUACUUUUACUUUUUGUACAAAUUUGUUUAGGUAUUUACUGAUUAUUGAAGCCCGCUAUUACGUUAGCCUGACGUACUGAAACCAGAUACCAUUAUUGAUGAUUAAGUGUAUCUAUAUCCUUUGCAAGUUCCAUGUUUCGAUCCCGGUGUCAGUUGGAAAUGAUAUAUGAACUGUUACAAAUACAGUGUACAUACGUAAGACAGCCGUUUUAAAGUACAAAAUAAAUAAAUUUAUUUCUCACUAAACCUCGAAUGGCAGACGCCAAACCGAAAACAUGAAAACUCGAGAGAUGAACUAUUUUAAAUUUCGUGUUUAACGUUGGCGGGGCAAAAACACGAAAUCACGAAAACACGACAAAUUAAGAAUUUGUGGGGUUUUCUUUCGUCACUCUGAGGUUGUGUUUGUGGUGUUCUAUGCUUCCCAGAAUCUACCCUUAUCUAUUUCUCUUUUGUCGGCAGGGCGAAAACACGAAAACUCGUCAAAUUAGGUAUUGGGCGUGUUUUCGUGUCGAUGGGACAAAGUCAUGACGACAUGAUUGCACGACACAUAAAGGGCAUCAACACGACAUCUUCAUACCCGCUGAAAUCAGCUACCAUACAUAUUUAUCAACUGCCACGGAUUAAUUGACACUGCCGAGAAAAAUAUCGUGACAUUGAUUUAAAGUAAGCGGGUGAAAAGGUAUUUAUAGUUACCAAUUAUUUGAAUAAAUUCAGUAAAUGAAGUUGUCCAAAUAUCCUGGAUAUCCUGUGUUUACAUAUCUGUUUACAUAAUUAUAAUUAGGAGUGCUGUUAAAGUUUCAGGUGGUCUUAUUCUUAUUUAAACAAGAUUGAUUAUCACCUUGAAAAACUUCUAAAUCUGCACAGUCAUUUAGGCUGCAGAGAAAUUCAGUCAAUGAGCUGACGCAAUGCACCAAUGGAUAACUUAUUAAAAAUUCUCAAGUGGGCUAUGGGUUCGGAACCUUGAUGCAUGCUAGAUACCCGUUAGAUGUUUUUAAUUCGAUUUAUCUGACCUUGCUGCCACACAAGGACAGUAUUUUUUCAGCUUAAGAAUAAACUCUAUAAUGAUCCAAUAUUGCCUAAAAUAAUGCUAGGGAUAUUAGAGCAAAAUUAGUUUUUAACUUAUCGAAAAUUGAUAAAUAUAAUAGCAGAAUUUAGUGCCACGUGGCGGCUGUAAAGAAUUUUCCCGUACUUGGCCACAGCUAUAUAAUUAAUUUUAUCCUUUGGAAUAAAAGGAAUUCAUUUGAUAUCUGCUCGAUAUUAUGACUAUAGAAUUCCGCUUUAGCCAAUGCAAAUGGGAGUCAGGGUGUUGAACUUUUCAUUGCCUCUCUUUAAAAGACUCUGAAAUAUUCUAUUAACAAUUACAACAGGAACAUUUAAAUGCCGUGCCAUGUGGCGGUCGUAUCUUUCCGUAGUGGACUCAGUAUUGUUACAUUAUCUGGUCCUUGGAGAUCGUGUGGUAAACUCUUUGUCUGUUUGAUAGGAUUCCACUAAAGCUGGUGCUAGGGAACUUAAGAGUGUCGAACUUCUCGUUAGCUUUCAUGAGCAGACAAAGUAAAACCGAGUCCAAUUUGCAUUCCAUACAUCCAUAUGAUCUUCUUUUGAUUUUUGUUUUUCCCAGAAAUUCAUAAAAUUACAAUUUUCCCCGCUUUUCAUUUUGGCCACUCAUUGAUUUUGAAGUUGUUUUUUCUGUGCAAAGUAUAAUAAUGUUAAUAAUAUUUGUAUGUUAGCUGUUUGUAUGCUUUGGGUUAGGCGUCGUUUUUCAACAAUACGGCGAAUAGUUAACCUGGAUUUUAUACCAGCACAAACCUGUUCUCCGCAAGAAACUGCCAACUUCUCCACAUUUAUUAGUGGUGAAGGACAAAUGCUUUCGAACACUAUAUUUUUAUCAAAUCGACACGGGGAACAUACACCUAAUCCGUGGAUCGAACUCACGACCCUGCGGAUUCGUUGAACUACGCUCUCCCUACUGCGCUAAGCGGGCCAGCUUAUGAUAUUUGUACUAUGGUAACUUGGAGCAUGCACAAUCCAAGUUCCUUGGUUUAGGGUCAAUUUUGCAUUCAGAUUCUUAAGCCUAAACUCUGUAAUAGAUAAAGGUAUUUUGUGAUGUAACAAGUUAAAGGAAUUUAUGUUCUCUUGAGAAAUAAAUUUAUAUAUUUUUUUUCAGUAGGCACGUAAGAGCUAUAAUUUCUGUUUCUGUUAUUUCAAUCCAGUCCAUAUAAUAUAAUGUGCCUCGAUUAAUCAAUUUCACGCACACAUAGUUCACGGGUGUGGCCAUUUUGGUCAUUUUAUAUUUCAAGCCGGUUCAUUCCUUCACAAAUAACUAAGCAGGCAAUUCGACAUUUCGUGUACAAAAAUACCCACCUUCCUCACCCCAACACUUUUUUGAAAGAAUUUCUGCUGCCGUGUUAUAUAUUUUCAGCGCCAAUACACCAGGUCAUCAUGGUCAUGCCACAUACUGCCACGGCGAUAUACAGUGCCUUUUAUGGAUAAAGACAAUCAUUCCUGCCAAGAAGCCUAAAGCUUGCAACCAAGUAUACGAUUUUGAACAGUUAAAAAUAUACUUAAUAUUUACUGAAUAUCAGAAACUGUAUUAAAUACAAACACUUUUCACGUGUUCUACAGUAAACACGCGGGCAGAAGUGGACUUAUUUAUUUUGCUGCAAAAUCUCAUCAUCUUAAGAUCAAGAUCAAGAAAGCUAAACAUAUCAUUUUAAAGACAUUACUUUAAUUGAUAAUCGUGACUUUUGUUCCCAUCGUGGCUGAUAUAUUACUGUAUAAACACGACAAAAAUAUGAUCCAGUAAACAAGUACAGGAGUAGUAGUA